UACAGAGGGUGCAAGCGUUGUUCGGAAUUAUUGGGCGUAAAGGGCGCGUAGGCGGUGCUGUAAGUCUGUGGUGAAAUCUCUGGGCUCAACUCAGAGUCUGCCAUAGAAACUGCAGUGCUGGAGUGUGGGAGAGGUGAGUGGAAUUCCCGGUGUAGCGGUGAAAUGCGUAGAUAUCGGGAAGAACACCCGUGGCGAAGGCGGCUCUCUGGGACGGUACUGACGCUGAGACGCGAAAGCGUGGGGAGCGAACAGG
rnacentral:rRNA from 1 species